GAAAUGCGAUAAGUAAUGUGAAUUGCAGAAUUCAGUGAAUCAUCGAAUCUUUGAACGCACAUUGCGCCCGCCAGUAUUCUGGCGGGCAUGCCUGUUCGAGCGUCAUUUCAACCAUCAAGCCCCCGGCUUGUGUUGGGGACCUGCGGCUGCCCGCAGGCCCUGAAAAACAGUGGUGGGCUCGCUGUCACACCGAGCGUAGUAGCAUACAUUCUCGCUCAGGGCGUGCUGCGGGUUCCGGCCGUUAAACGACCUUCAUAACCCAAGGUUGACCUCGGAUCAGGUAGGAAGACCCGCUGAACUUAAGC
rnacentral:misc_RNA from 1 species